rnacentral:tRNA from 1 species
GGUAGCGUGGCCGAGUGGUCUAAGGCGCUGGUUUUAGGCACCAGUCUCAUUCGAGGCGUGGGUUCGAAUCCCACCGCUGCCA